GCCUGUAAGGUCAUUGCUCUGAACUUGGUUCUAGAAGUCCCUGAAUUUGGCUUUGGUCCAAACUUGGCCUAGCAUUACUAGGAUUUUUCUAGUACCAACUGGCAUGCUUUUUUUUUUAAGUUUUUUUCUUCUUCUGGUGCCCCUGGCCAGAUCCCAGAGGUUUCCCUUCCAUGUCAGAAGCUCUGAAGCUGCUGCUCCUGCUGGAAUCUGAGGACUUGACAUGGCCAUCCCUGAUUUUCUCAGUAAUUCUCUUUCCAUGUUCCUGAGACUUGGCAAGUGGUAUGCAUGGAAUUUGCAGACAGACCAUCUUUCUCAGUCUUCUUGGAGUUAAUACCUAGAACUGCAGAAUGAUGCAGCUCUAUGACGGCAUGAUAAAUGUGGAAAUAUGUUUAGAAGAACUGCACAUGUCUAACCUAUUACCUGCUCUCUAGGAGUGGAAUGAGGGAAAAAAAUUUGGAACACAAGGUUUUGCAAAGAGGCUUUGAAAUCCAGGGACAGAUCAAAGUCAAGACAACUGGUGAUUUGGGAAUGCAGUGGAUAACCUUGGUGUCUGCAAUACCUGACCAAGCUCUAAGCACUCCAUAGCACUUGCUUCAGCUGCUUCCAUUGUUCUGAUCCACCCAUUCUUCUGGAGAAAUUUUUCAUAAGCUUGGGGUAGACAUCGUCCAACUCAUUGACAGCCUACUGGCUACCAAAACUUAGUUUAGUCCAGCUGCUAAAAUGGUUUACUGGGGUAUGGCUACUAGGCAUGCUACAGCUUCUUGGAGCCACAGGUAAAAGUUGGGUAUCAAGAAGACCUCAAAGAUAGAUGAGCAGCCUAAAAGCGACUCAACAAGCCCUUAUACCAGAGGUGCUAGUCUUCCUUGAAUAUCCUAUCUAUUUGGUGGACUGUCUACCAUAUUAAGGUCACUGUCAUGAAGAUCCAGGUUUGAUUUCCAUUUCAGAAACUUAUUAAAUGUGUAUUAAAUGGGGGCAAUUCACUUAACCCUUCUGAGGGUUAACUUUCUCAUUAUUAAAAGAAAGAGACUAUAUUUAUUUCUAUCAAGGCUUAGUUACUGUGUAGUUAAUUUUGGUAAAUUAUUUUUCCAUUUCCUUUCUUAUUCUUUGUUACAGGAAAAGACUUUCUGGGUAGAGAGGGAAAGAGGAACAUUGAGAACUGAAAGUGACAUUAAAACAAAAUUAAACAAUUUUUAAAAUAAAAUAGUAGCCAAAAUGGCCUUCUCUAACUGGGUUUGUACAUGAAUGGAUUCCCAAAAAUAUGGGACAAGAUGUUUUUUCUCUCUAAAGAAUGAAACAAAUACAAAACUGUUUCCAGUUCAAUUCAAGAAAAACUCAUUCUACUUUUCAGAUAAGUCACUGUGCUAAUCUGCCUCUUUGAAAAAUACACAGACCUAGAUAGAUUCCCUAAUCUAACAGUGAUAAUUUGACUUUUAAGCAUUGUAAUUUUUAUAAACAUAAUAUUUAUUGCUAAGAAUUCUCAAUGGUGCACAGAGCUAAAGUUUUUCUUGGUUUCCUAGAUAAUUCUCAUAUAUUUAAUCAGUAAAAUGCAUGGGAGAAUACAUCAUUCACCCAAAAGAUAUAAGCUCUAUCAUACUUCUUUCCCUGUGCCAAUAGAAAUUAGCAACUUAAGUAGGACACUUUGGCCAUUUACAAAUUAGCUGAAACUGCUGUGUUGAAAGAGUUCAAUUUUACUGUUACAAGAAUUAUAAUGGGUAGAAUUUGUAAAGAAUAAAGUUGAUGCUUUAUUAAAAAAAAAAAAAGAAAUCUUCCUAUGGUUUGGAAUUAUUCAAAAGUGAAAUUGACUUUUGAGAGAUGGUAAAUUCACUUUCACUUGAAUUUUUUUUGUGCAAAAAUCUGGCUGACCAAUCUUUGGGUAGGGAGGGCAGUGAGAAAUUGUCACAAGAGAACCUUGUUUAACUAUGACUUGGACUAGAGGUUCUCUGGUGUCUCUUCCCACUCUAAGAUUCUGUAAUUCUGCUCCAUAGUUUUAAGUUUAAACUUAUAGAUUAUAUAUUCUUUAAAAUUAAUGUCAAGUUCAGCUUUAGCACAGAGUUAGGACAUCAUGUUGGAAAGUGGCUAUCAAGUCUGUUGCAUUGGUUUCUUAUGCUUAACCAUGGUUUUUUGUUACAAGGAAGGGUUCUGCAAGGGUAGGAGAUCACUGAGAAGUGAUGUGAGAGAGUGCCCUAAUGAGGCUUAAGCAAAGGUCUAGAAGGCAAAAAUACAGAGACAUUGAAACUGCAGAGACCCUAAUCCUGGAGGUGACAAACAGAGCUGAGGUCCUGAGAGAGGUAAAAGGAAGAAGUUCCUGUAAAUCCUAAACUAAGUGCCCCAGAUCAAAGAAUCCUCUAACAUUCCAAAUUAAGAAAGCACAAUACCACCAAGAAGCUGAAGGUAGAAAAGGAGAAAGGAAUAAGCAUUUAUACGGAGGCUAUAAGUGCCAGGAAAUGAGUUAAGCACUUUACAAAUAUUAUUUCAUUUGAUCCUCACAACCAUCCAUAGGAGGUAGGUGCUAUUGUUAUCUUCAGUUUACCGUUGAGGAAACUGAGGCAAAAAGAGGUUAAGUCAUUUGCCUAGAGUUCUAGAGCUACUAUUUCAGAUUGGAUUUGAACUAGGUCUUUCUUGACUUCAGGCUCCUCAUUCUAUCUACUGUACCAUAUAGCUAUCCUUCAAGGAAAAGAUGGCAGUUGACCAUCAAAGAGUGAGUGCAAGAAAUAUACAUGAUUGACAUACUGAACAGAGAUGUCACAAUUUGAAAAGUACCAGGAGUCAAGCCAUCCACUCUCCAGUGGCAGAUCAGACUGCUCCGCAUCAGCCAUCAGAAGAACAAUCUGAGUAGCCCAAUCUAGCAGUCAGAUUCAAUUGUUUGCAGAGAUUCUUUGAGAAAAGAAGGCAAAAAAGAGAAGAAAAGACACACAGAGACAGAAACAGAGUUGGGGAGAGAAAGAGAAAAAGAGAGAGAGACAGAGAAAGAGACAGAGAGACAGAAACAGAGAGAUGAUGGUAAUGUGUGUGUACUUUUGAAUGGGACUCUGGAGCUCCAGAACUGAAGACAUAUAAGGAAAAUUUGGGCUUCUACAUGAUGACAUCUUUCUCCCUCACUUUUGGUUUAAGCUACUCUUUUUCUCAUUGUUUACUCUAUUUUAUUCAGUAUAACUU